rnacentral:rRNA from 1 species
AUUGAACGCUGGCGGCAGGCCUAACACAUGCAAGUCGAACGAGUGGCGGACGGGUGAGUAAUGUCUGGGAAACUGCCUGAUGGAGGGGGAUAACUACUGGAAACGGUAGCUAAUACCGCAUACCAUCGGAUGUGCCCAGAUGGGAUUAGCUAGUAGGGGGGGUAACGGCUCACCUAGGCGACGAUCCCUAGCUGGUCUGAGAGGAUGACCCGGCAAACUGGAACUGAGACACGGUCCAGACUCCUACGGGAGGCAGGCGGGGGGAAUAUUGGACAAUGGGCGGAAGCCUGAUGGAGCCAUGCCGCGUGUAUGAAGAAGGCCUUCGGGUUGUAAAGUACUUUCAGCGGGGAGGCGGUACCCGCAGAAGAAGCACCGGCUAACUCCGUGCCAGCAGCCGCGGUAAUUC